CCUACGGGCGGCAGCAGUGAGGAAUAUUGGUCAAUGGGCGCGAGCCUGAACCAGCCAAGUCGCGUGAGGGAGGACGGCCCUACGGGUUGUAAACCUCUUUUGCCGGGGAGCAACGGGCGUCACGUGUGGCGCCACUGAGAGUACCCGGAGAAAAAGCAUCGGCUAACUCCGUGCCAGCAGCCGCGGUAAUACGGAGGAUGCGAGCGUUAUCCGGUUUUAUUGGGUUUAAGGGGUGCGUAGGCGGAUCGUUAAGUCAGUGGGAAAAUUGCGGGGCUCAACCCCUUCCCGCCAUUGAAACUGGCGCUCUUGAGUGGAAGAGAAGUAUGCGGAAUGCGUGGUGUAGCGGUGAAAUGCAUAGAUAUCACGCAGAACCCCGAUUGCGAAGGCAGCAUGCCGGCUUCCGACUGACGCUGAAGCACGAAAGCGUGGGGAUCGAACAGGAUUAGAUACCCGGGUAGUC
rnacentral:rRNA from 1 species